UAGAUAUAUGAAUUUUAGAGUCCACAUUCGAAUUCGAUAAUUUAAACAAAUACAAAUACGAACAUCUUAGUACUCGAUUCGAUUCGAUCGUUUACCACCCCUACUUGUAAAUAAGAUUCAUUGUUUACUUGCCAAAAAACUCUGAAGAUUUAUCAGUUUCAUGCGCUGUCGUUAUUUCUUGAGCUUGUGUUACACUCAAUUAUGUUUUUCUAUAAAUGAUUUAUGUUGUUUGCGAUCCUUUUAUAGUUCAAAAGCAAACUGUUAGCUUUUAUUUCCUUCUGAAUAUGUUCUGUAAACACUUUCUAGCAGGCUGAAUUGUGCCCAGAUUCAUAUGCAUUCUGAUAUAUCGAUCUUUUGUCCAUGGAAUGACUAGGGAACAUACAAAAACAUGGAAGCAGAAAGAAAAUCUUUGUCAACCUCUUCAAAACAGAAGAGAUCAUUUGAAGUUAUGAGCACACGAUGUCCACAAGUGCGACCAAAAGAACAUAAUCGGCUAAGUAAUAUGGAUAAGCUGAGAAAGCAUGUGCCCAAUAUAUGUGAACCACCUGCUAGAAAUAUUGCAAUACAAAGAAAAGAGUUAAGAGGAGCGGACAAAGAAGAAAAUGAUCCGUAUGAGACAAUCAAGAGAGGAGAAAAUGUUGGAUGAAAUAGGAAAUACGGAGCGAGAUGUUCGGAAAAAAUUCAUAGAGCAAAAGGGACAAACUAGUAAGACACGACAACAACUUCAGAAUCAUGCACAAAUAAAAGUGAUAGCAAGAGGAGAACAAUCGGCCAACUUAGAAGAUGAAGAGGAAGAUAUCAGAGAGGAUUUCAUAGAAGAUGCUAUAGGAGAUGUUAGUGAGCAUGAUGAGCAAGAUGAAGAGGAAGAUAGAGAGGAGGAUUUUAUAGAUGAGUCUGAAGGAGGUGAGGACUUAAGGGGACAACCAACAAGAGAGGUAGCUAAUAAAGUGGUAGACAAAGCCAAAAAGUAUCGAGGGCAAACUAAAUGUCAAAAAGUUCAUGCACGAAGUGUACAUGAUCGACAGGUUAUUUUUUUAAAUGAAUGUGGACAACCUAUCGGACCGUCAGAUAAGGCAUGUAGUGAACUUAGCAGUUUCUUAGGCACACUUGGCAGAAACUCAAGUUUUGCACCUCUUGAUAAGGAAAAUUGGCACAAAGUUGAAGAAAAAGAUAAAGAAAAAAUAUGGGAUUAUGUUAAGGAAAAAUAUGACAUUCCAGAGGAAGGAAGAAAAAUGGACCCUAGAAACUGUCAACUGUGCAUGGAGACGCUGGAAAUCAUUCUUGAAGAAGAAGUGCUUUGACGGGUUCAAAAAUGACAAACAAAGAAUGAAGACACGGCCAGAUACUAUACCUGAAAUAGAAUUUAAAGCCUUGCUCAAAUUCUGGAACACCGAACAAUCAAAGACAACAAGUGAGACCAACAAAGCAAAUCGUGAUGGUCAAGAAUAUAUACACACUACGGGGUCAAUAAGUUUUGCCAGGAUUCGCAAAAAAUUGGAAAAGGAGUUGGGAAGACCUCCAAGUGAAGCUGAAAUGUUUAUUGAGACCCGUAAAAGGAAGACAAAACCACAAGGAGAGAAAACAAUCAAUUUGAUAGGUGCUUUAGAAGAACUCAAAUCUCAAGAUGAAGAUGAUGAUGCAUGGGAUUUAGUUACGAAAGAUGAAUAUCCUGGACGUGUACGUCUUAUGGGAAGGGUUGUCACUAAAACCAUGCUCCAAAAUAAAAAUAAAAAGAUCAUGGAUCCCUAUGAGCAAGUUCCAGAGUCUGUUGUUCAAAGUAUAUCACAAAAAGUUGAACAAGAGUUGACAAAAAAGUUUGAAGCGCAGAAGGCAGAUUUGGUUCAUGGUUUCGCCGAGCUCCUGACGGAAACACUUGGGCAAACAAUUGAUCCGGCGGCUAUUGCAAGACUUGUUGCACGCACAAGAUCACCUGAGCAAGCUAAUAGUGCUCGAAAUCAUGAUCGUCCUCGCUCAUCUGGAAGCAGUCAUCAUCCACGAAAUGAGGUCAAUGUAGAAUUCCAAUAUACCUAAAGGAUUCUUGGAUGAAGAGCAAGUGAUUGACCCUGUCAAGAAUUGGGAACAUCUAUAAUCAGAAAACAUUCUACAUAUUAUGAAAAUUGAUGGUGGUUGAAACAGGUUAAUCCGUGCGUGCUUUUCACUUACUCUGAGAUUAGCUCUAUCCUGACAAUUUACAAAUUAUGUAUACCAAUGGAGACCUUUUAGUUAAAAAGAGGACAUUUUUUGUUUUAAUGAAAGAGGAAUUUUAGUCAUGUAUUUUGGACAAAAGAAAAAACUUGUACUAAAGUCAUUGUAAUGAACUAAUCCUUAUGUUUGUUUGUUUGCUUGUAAAAUUAGGAGUUCCAUUUCUUUGUU